CUUAAAUGGUUACACUGGAACAACAUGCCGAUGUCCUCCUAACUGCAUUUGUACGGUUGGACUUGAUAUUUGUAUUUCAUGUACACAUGGUUAUGAUAAUCCUGAACAACAAUGCACGUGUCAAUCGAAAUAUUGUCUCGAGAAUGAAUGUGAUCAAUGUAUUAACCAGACGUUUUACGUUGAUAAAAAUGCGUGCUGUUCAUAUCCUGAUCAUUGCAAAGAUGGUGACUACAGGGAAGGACCUGAAUGUAUUUCUGGUUGCAUGGACGGCUUUUACGGUUUGGAUUGUUCUCAAAGUUGCUUGUCCCUGAGUGCGGACUGUUUACGAUGUACUCAGACGUAUGGAAAGUGUUUGGAAUGUAGCGAUGGUUUUUAUCCAAAUGACUAUGGAAGCUGCAUAAAUUGCAGUAUUAGCUGUAUAAGUGGGCUUUGCAAUUCUGCGAAAGUAAAUGGCUGCAUCAAUGAUCUUGAAGGCAGAGAUUGCUCAGAACGACGAAUUUACAUUGGUUCUUCAACAAUAAAUGCCCUCUCAGCUUAUCGGUAGUUUUGGGCAUUUCGCUUAUUUGCACAGCUGCUGGUUGCUAUCUGUGGAACAGACGAAUGUAUAAACCAACAGAACCGGAAGAUCAGCUUGAAACUGAGAUGACCUAUGAACAGCUACAAAGACAGGCAAACGAACCAACAUACACAAAUGCUGACGAAAAUUAUUCCGUGCUUUCAACGUAGAAGUUAAAAACAGUUUUUUUGCAUGAGAGAAUGAGUAUAACGAGAUUUUGCAUUUCUAUUCUGAACUUUAAGAACACAUUUAGGUUUGGUUUUACACCUGUUGCCAGUAGAUAUAAAUUUGCAGUCGUAGUAUUAAUAUGUAUCGAGAAUUGAUUAUAAUUAAUUUCAGAACAAUAUAUCCAGUGUGUACAUCAUUUUACGUUAUGUAUGUAUAUAUUUUCGUCAUACAUGUAACACUACAUGUUUAGGACGUCCUGUUUUGUGCCCGAAUGCUCUAAACACUCUGUAUAUGUUGGGAAAAUGUGAAGUGGAGCUUGGUUAGAUAGUAAACGCCGCCGUAUGUGGUUACCCUUACACUUUAACAUGGUCAUUGAUACGUAUUAGGCUGCUGGGCUUAUCCAGUAAAGUAAAACAUAGUUACCUUUCUGACAAUAUGAAUCUUAUAUUGUAGACCUCCAUCCAAAUACACACUACGACAUAAUCAAUAAACUGGUGACUC